rnacentral:rRNA from 1 species
AGUGAACGCUGGCGGUAGGCCUAACACAUGCAAGUCGAACGGCAGCACAGUAAGAGCUUGCUCUUACGGGUGGCGAGUGGCGGACGGGUGAGGAAUACAUCGGAAUCUACUUUUUCGUGGGGGAUAACGUAGGGAAACUUACGCUAAUACCGCAUACGACCUACGGGUGAAAGCAGGGGAUCUUCGGACCUUGCGCGAUUGAAUGAGCCGAUGUAGGAUUAGCUAGUUGGCGGGGUAAAGGCCCACUAAGGCGAGGAUCCGUAGCUGGUCUGAGUGGAUGGUCAGCCACACUGGAACUGAGACACGGUCCAGACUCCUACGGGAGGCAGCAGUGGGGAAUAUUGGACAAUGGGCGCAAGCCUGAUCCAGCCAUACCGCGUGGGUGACGAAGGCCUUCGGGUUGUAAAGCCCUUUUGUUGGGAAAGAAAAGCAGCAGGUUAAUACCCCGCUGUUCUGACGGUACCCAAAGAAUAAGCACCGGCUAACUUCGUG